UACAGAGGGGGCAAGCGUUGUUCGGAAUUACUGGGCGUAAAGGGCGCGUAGGCGGCCCGCUAAGUCGAACGUGAAAUCCCCGGGCUCAACCCGGGAACUGCGUCCGAUACUGGCGGGCUUGAAUCCGGGAGAGGGAUGCGGAAUUCCAGGUGUAGUAGUGAAAUGCGUUGAUAUCGUUCGGAACACCGAAAGCGAAGGCAGAGGACUGGGUGCCACCUGACACUACUAGGACGAAAGCGUGGGGAGCGAAUGGG
rnacentral:rRNA from 1 species